GCGGGUUCCCUGGCCAUGCCCAGCGGGCCGAGGGAAAGGCUCCGACGGGGCUGCCCGGGUCCUGGCGCACGUCUGCGGACCGACCCUGGGCAUGAAAAGGUCACAGCCGCCAGGGCUGCGUCUCCGACGGUGGCCACCCUAGGUGUGCCGAUCCCGAGAAGCCGGGACCCCGGGUAACCGGCUGCUCAGCGAAGCCUGCCCCCUCCUCGAGUCCGACGGCAGGGCUUCCCGGUCCUGGGAACCCUGUCUGGGCGCUGCUGACCCAUCUCUCUUGUCGGAUGUCAGAGGGGCUAAUGUGGUUUCCAAAACUGGGAGAGAGGACGAAAGGAAGAGCCUGCGCUCUGUACUUGCUUCAAGGAGACGCAAGAAUCAGAGAACUGGCCCCCGCCCAAGACUGUAAGUGAUGGUCCAAGGAUGGGGUGUACCUGUGGGAACUUUGUGUUGCCUGAAGAGGACCCUGGUUUCAGGACUGGGGUCACACAGUACAGGUGCCCUGGCUGAUGGGCGCAGCCUCACCAGGAACUGCCAAGGUGGUCAUACCCCAAGAGGCCUUCAGGUGUGGUUGGUAGCGAAGGAGGGGCCUCUUUGCCUCAGGUGGAACAGCUUUGCAGUGGCAGUCAUGCUCUGUGGCUGCCCGUGGGAUCAGGCUGAGUUUUCUCUGUCCUCCAGAAAUCUUUAUGAGUAGCUGCUCAAAAGGAUGGGAAGCACUUGGCGUAAUAGUCCUAAGAAAAUCAUCCUGUCUCAACCAGAGCUUGAUCUUCUGCCUGCUGCUCUCAGGCUUGAUCAUGAGACUUGCUUUGGCCAACAACCUGCGAGUGGAGGUGAUGUUUGCUGUUUCUGGGCAGAAGCUCUAAGAGCUAGCCCAUAGUUCUCCACGUCCUCUCCCUGCAUCUGUCUUUGUUAGGAUGUCAGCUUGGGUUCUCAGUGAUUCAAAGCUGGUUGUUGACCCAGGAUGGAUGUGCACGAUUUUUAUUGUAUUCUUGCACAGAGAGUACAAGAGCAAUAUCAAGAAACACACAGCUCUAAGAUUCAUAAGUUGAACUCCAGCCCCCAGCCUGGCCGCGUUUGGAGAUGGGAAUUCUUAGGAAGUUAAGUGAGCUCUAAGGGUGGGGUCCCCGCCUCAUAGGAAUAGUGUCUUCUACGAGGAGACACCAGAGGGCGCUCUCGAUGCUCCCACUCCGAGGAAAGGCCAGGGGAGGACCCAGCGAGAAGGUGACCGGCGGCCUGCAAGGGGAAAGAGCCCUCAUCAGGAAUUGCAUCAGCCAGCACCUUGAUCUUGGACUUCUAGCCUUCAGAACUAUGAGGAAAUGAAUUUCUGCUGUUUAUGUCACUCGAUCUACAGUAUUUUGUCAUAACAGCCCAAAAUGCAAUUCAUACAAAAGGAAGUAUUUCAGAGAAGACUAUCAUGACUUUUUUUUGGCCAAGCCUGUGGAAGUUCCUUGGCCAGCAGUAGCCCUGUGAUCAGUGACAAAGCCAAGUCCUUAACCUCUAGGGCACCAGGGUUUAUGGUGAAACUGGAGCAGUGAAUUCUGGUGGAAUUACUUGGGAAUACAGGCAUAUGCAUGACAGUCUGGGGAAGCCAUGUUUGUGUUGUUCGAGGUGAAGAAUUAUCAUCAAUAUGCUGCUUACAUCAUAGGCUGUCCAGUGAAGAUGAAGUUUCCAACAAGGGCCUAGAAGCUCAUGAGCAUAAAGUGCUGGUGCCCUCUCAGGAAGGCUGUGAGCUGGAAGUCACUGCCAGAGAUCGAAUCCACAACCUCAUGGUUCCUAGUCAAAUUCAUUUCUGCUGCGCCAUGACCGGAACUCCGGAUUCUGUGUUUUUAAUGAAUGCACCUGAGGAAUUUUUAUGAUGGUAAGUUUGGUAAACACUGCUUUAGUCCCGCCCAGGUUGGGAUCAGAAUUCUCUUACCCAAAAGGCUGGGCAAGAUUGAGAAGCAGGGCUUCUGGUUUCAGAGGGACAUACAAGCAGUCUGUUAGGAGGCAUCCUGGAGCUAGGAUGCUGUCUGGGGGAGCGGGCUGCCACUUCCUGGGUGCUGGAUUUAGAGGACUGAGGUGUUCACAGUGAGGCUCCGGUGCUCAUGGGAACCGAGGUGACCCUGAGGGAGAGAAUGGCAGUCACGCAUCCCAGCCACAGGUGAGGGCUCUUGACGCAAACGGAAGAUUUAGGCUGGGUAGGAUUCCUAUCUCAUGGCCCAGGGAGGCUGUGGGGAAAGGCCGCUCACUCGUGGGUCAACAGCAGGGGGCGUCUCUCCUGAAAAGGAUCUUGUUCUUGGAUGGUAACCACUGGGGUGAACGGACGGUCCUUAGGAAACCAGAGCUCACCACGGAGACUAGACAGGCAGCGAGGUAACCAGUGUGUUUCAAGCCUUUCUCGUUGGGGUCCAGAUGCGAAAGGAGCUGGUGUCCUUGAAGUUCACGGUCUUGAGUUCAUCAGGGUGGCGGUGGGUGUGCCCUGGGAUAGCUGUCCCUAAGAAGAAGGGAGGACCUGAGCCGGGUGGCGCCGAGGAGCCCCUUCCCGAGGAGCCCCUUCCCACCUGGGAGCCCGCCGCCCUGGAGGGUGCCCUUGGGGUGGAUCUUCCUCAGGUGAGACCAGAGCAGGCAGGUCGAGGUGGGCGUGAGAUGUAAGGGAAUGAUUGGUUGUUUGAUCGGCCCAGAGUGGGACUUAUUGGACCGAGAGGUAAUGCUUUUGGCUCUGAUGGUUCCUAGAAACGGAAUGUUUGUGGCCCCACCGGCCCCCUAUUCAUAGUUUGAAACCUAAUCCCCAAUGUGAAGGUGUUUGGAGGCCCUGGGAGGCGAUUAGGGCAUCAGGGUGGGGCCGAUGCGGAUGGAUUCGUGCCCUUGUAAGCGGAGGAAGAGUCGGAGUUCUCCCAUCGCUGCCUGAGGACGAGGCAAGAACACGGGCUCAGGGAACAGUGAGCUGGCCCUCACCAGACUCAGAAUCUGCUUGAUCCUGGACUUUCCAGCCUCUAGGACUGUGAGAAAUAAAUGUCUGCUGUUUAUAA
rnacentral:lncRNA from 1 species